rnacentral:rRNA from 1 species
CCUACGGGAGGCAGCAGUGAGGAAUAUUGGUCAAUGGACGAGAGUCUGAACCAGCCAAGUAGCGUGAAGGAUGACUGCACUAUGGGUUGUAAACUUCUUUUAUAUGGGAAUAAAAUGGUCCACGUGUGGGAUUUUGUAUGUACCAUAUGAAUAAGGAUCGGCUAACUCCGUGCCAGCAGCCGCGGUAAUACGGAGGAUCCGAGCGUUAUCCGGAUUUAUUGGGUUUAAAGGGAGCGUAGGUGGAUUGUUAAGUCAGUUGUGAAAGUUGGCGGCUCAACCGUAAAAUUGCAGUUGAAACUGGCAGUCUUGAGUACAGUAGAGGUGGGCGGAAUUCGUGGUGUAGCGGUGAAAUGCUUAGAUAGCACGCAGAACUCCGAUUGCGAAGGUAGCUCACUGGACUGCAACUGACACUGAGGCUCGAAAGUGUGGGUAUCGAACAGGAUUAGAUACCCCGGUAGUC